rnacentral:rRNA from 1 species
UACGGGGGGGGCAAGCGUUGUUCGGAAUUACUGGGCGUAAAGGGCUCGUAGGCGGCCAACUAAGUCAGACGUGAAAUCCCUCGGCUUAACCGGGGAACUGCGUCUGAUACUGGAUGGCUUGAGUUCGGGAGAGGGAUGCGGAAUUCCAGGUGUAGCGGUGAAAUGCGUAGAUAUCAGGAGGAACACCAAUUGCGAAGGCAGCUCGCUGGGACGUUACUGACGCUGAGACGCGAAAGCGUGGGGAGCAAACAGG